rnacentral:sRNA from 1 species
AAUGUUGUCAUUAAAUAGCUGACUGUGAUAACUCUGUAGGCAAUCGUUCGCAAUAUGAAUUAUAGAAACCUAAAAAUGAAAGCCCUUCUCCUCGUAGUUAGCCUAGUCGUGAUUAGCGUGGUGGUGAUUAUUAUCCCACCGUGCGGGGCUGCACUUGGACGAAGAAAGGCUUAUUAAACAAGCCUGAACCUGAAAAGAAACCCCGCACCGAAAGGUCCGGGGUUUUUUUUUGGGUCAGGAAUUUCAGAGAACAGUGAAGCGGGGUCGGAAAAUGAGCAACAGCAUAAUAUUCUGCACUUGUCGCA